AGAGAACGCUGGCGGCGUGGAUUAGGCAUGCAAGUCGAACGGUAUCAUCCUUUCGGGGGUGAGAGAGUGGCGAACUGGUGAGUAACACGUAGGUUAUCUACCCUCAAGACGGGACAACCCAGGGAAACUUGGGCUAAUACCGGAUGUGAGCAACUUUUAGUUGUUUGAAAGGUGGCGUAAGCUGUCGCUUGGGGAUGAGCCUGCGUCCUAUUAGUUAGUUGGUGAGGUAACGGCUCACCUAGGCAAUGAUAGGUAGGCGGCCUUAACGGGUGGUCGCCCACACUGGGAUUGAGAUACGGCCCAGACUCCUACGGGAGGCAGCAGUCGAGAAUAGUCUACAAUGGUCGGAAGACUGAUAGUGCGACGCCGCGUGAACGAUGAAUCCCUUCGGGGUGUAAAGUUCUUUUAUAUGUGAGCAGUGCUUCUUAUAUUAACAGUAUGGGGAGAGAGAUAUUAGCAUAUGAAUAAGCAACGGCUAACGUCCGUG
rnacentral:rRNA from 1 species